UCCUAAUGUCUCCCGUACCUUAGAACUGAUGACGUGUCUGUAUCCACAGAGAUGCCGUGGAGCAGCAGUGGUACUGUGGAUGAAAGUCUACCUUGAGCAGCCUGAACUCGCCCAACUUAGUCCCGUCUGACAACUAAAUGGAGUGAGGUAGAUAAGCUUCUUGACAGACGAGGCUGUUGCGUUCAUCAUUCGUCAAAGGAUUGAACAGUUCAUGGAAAGUACAGAACCUGUAAGUAGUGUUAGAUGGCCUGAGAAAUUUCUACGAAAGUGUCUUCUAUGUGAACGUUCUAAAGUCACCGAAGUUGUUUGACCU